GUCCCUGUAGUUCAACGGAUAGAACGGAGGCCUCCGGAGCUUCAGGUGGGGGUUCGAUUCCUCCCAGGGGCACUA
rnacentral:tRNA from 8 species